rnacentral:rRNA from 2 species
AAAUUGAAGAGUUUGAUCAUGGCUCAGAUUGAACGCUGGCGGCAGGCCUAACACAUGCAAGUCGAACGGUAACAGGAAGCAGCUUGCUGCUUUGCUGACGAGUGGCGGACGGGUGAGUAAUGUCUGGGAAACUGCCUGAUGGAGGGGGAUAACUACUGGAAACGGUGGCUAAUACCGCAUAACGUCGCAAGACCAAAGAGGGGGACCUUCGGGCCUCUUGCCAUCAGAUGUGCCCAGAUGGGAUUAGCUAGUUGGUGAGGUAACGGCUCACCAAGGCGACGAUCCCUAGCUGGUCUGAGAGGAUGACCAGCCACACUGGAACUGAGACACGGUCCAGACUCCUACGGGAGGCAGCAGUGGGGAAUAUUGCACAAUGGGCGCAAGCCUGAUGCAGCCAUGCCGCGUGUAUGAAGAAGGCCUUCGGGUUGUAAAGUACUUUCAGCGGGGAGGAAGGUGUUGUGGUUAAUAACCGCAGCAAUUGACGUUACCCGCAGAAGAAGCACCGGCUAACUCCGUGCCAGCAGCCGCGGUAAUACGGAGGGUGCAAGCGUUAAUCGGAAUUACUGGGCGUAAAGCGCACGCAGGCGGUCUGUCAAGUCGGAUGUGAAAUCCCCGGGCUCAACCUGGGAACUGCAUUCGAAACUGGCAGGCUUGAGUCUUGUAGAGGGGGGUAGAAUUCCAGGUGUAGCGGUGAAAUGCGUAGAGAUCUGGAGGAAUACCGGUGGCGAAGGCGGCCCCCUGGACAAAGACUGACGCUCAGGUGCGAAAGCGUGGGGAGCAAACAGGAUUAGAUACCCUGGUAGUCCACGCCGUAAACGAUGUCUACUUGGAGGUUGUGCCCUUGAGGCGUGGCUUCCGGAGCUAACGCGUUAAGUAGACCGCCUGGGGAGUACGGCCGCAAGGUUAAAACUCAAAUGAAUUGACGGGGGCCCGCACAAGCGGUGGAGCAUGUGGUUUAAUUCGAUGCAACGCGAAGAACCUUACCUGGUCUUGACAUCCACGGAAGUUUUCAGAGAUGAGAAUGUGCCUUCGGGAACCGUGAGACAGGUGCUGCAUGGCUGUCGUCAGCUCGUGUUGUGAAAUGUUGGGUUAAGUCCCGCAACGAGCGCAACCCUUAUCCUUUGUUGCCAGCGGUUAGGCCGGGAACUCAAAGGAGACUGCCAGUGAUAAACUGGAGGAAGGUGGGGAUGACGUCAAGUCAUCAUGGCCCUUACGACCAGGGCUACACACGUGCUACAAUGGCGCAUACAAAGAGAAGCGACCUCGCGAGAGCAAGCGGACCUCAUAAAGUGCGUCGUAGUCCGGAUUGGAGUCUGCAACUCGACUCCAUGAAGUCGGAAUCGCUAGUAAUCGUGGAUCAGAAUGCCACGGUGAAUACGUUCCCGGGCCUUGUACACACCGCCCGUCACACCAUGGGAGUGGGUUGCAAAAGAAGUAGGUAGCUUAACCUUCGGGAGGGCGCUUACCACUUUGUGAUUCAUGACUGGGGUGAAGUCGUAACAAGGUAACCGUAGGGGAACCUGCGGUUGGAUCACCUCCUUACCUUAAAGAAGC